rnacentral:rRNA from 1 species
UACGGAGGGUGCAAGCGUUAUCCGGAUUCACUGGGUUUAAAGGGUGCGUAGGUGGGUUGGUAAGUCGGGUGUGAAAUCUUGGAGCUUAACUCCGAAACUGCAUUCGAUACUGCCGUGCUUGAGGACUGGAGAGGAGACUGGAAUUUACGGUGUAGCGGUGAAAUGCGUAGAUAUCGUAAGGAAGACCAGUGGCGAAGGCGGGUCUCUGGACAGUUCCUGACGCUGAGGCACGAAGGCCAGGGGAGCAAACGGG